ensembl:lncRNA
GUAUGACAAGUGUCUUUUCUAAGAGAAGUGAAAGUAGUUGAGCAGAUUUUCUCCUGAGGGGGGUGUCUGUCUUUAACUGAAUGCUGUCUUUAACUGUCCUGGUGUCCUGUUUGACUUUAGGAGGACAUGAGCUCUUGGAUCAGGCCUCUAUAGUACCUGGCCCAAAUGACUCUCAGAAAUCCCUGCUGCUAAGUGCUUGUGGAUGUGUUGGGUAACAGGUUGCUGCACCACCUGUUCUUGUUCACCUGGUUUGGGUUUGGAUUCUGUUGGAGUCAGCUGAAAGGCCACCUGCCUUUGAGGUGUCUGUGUUCUGAUGAUUGCAAAACGUUGAUUUGGCUCAAAAAGUUAUUUUGUGUUGUCUUCAUCCAGCACAGCUAGAAAAGUGGCCACCCUACAGAGUCUGGUUCCUGUCUGUUUUUGCAAAUUUUGGUCCCUAUGAGGGAGUUUUUCCUAGCCACAGUGCAUUAACUGGUGUCACUUGCUCUUUUCAGGCUCACUGGAAGGCUGAAUGUUUGUCGUUUAAUUCGGCUUGCGGUGCCCUGAGGCUGCGGUGCCCUGAGGCUGAGGUGCCCUGAGGCUGAGUGAGAUUUUUGACAAACACAAUUUGCAGUGUGUCACGGCAAGACCUAUUACUGUAGCUUUACACAGUAUGGACGUGUUUUGUUCCACAGUUACAACAUGAGUAAUAACAAGGUUGCAGGUUUGAGAUGGUUGUUUAUGCCUGUGGAAAAAUAACUGGUUCGGUGUAGCCAUCUUUCUGAAAAGGUUGGGUUCAGAAUAAAGUUGGAAUUUUGUGUUGUAUUGCUGUUAUGUAUGGGCCAUUGAGGCUAUCGAAUCCUGUCAUGUUUAGAUUGUCAGGAGGGCUUUGAUGCAUUAAUCAGUCAAUUUAUAUGUCGUGAUAUUGCUUCUGUGUCCUUCCUAUGAAGUUAUUUCCACACUUUUCAAUGCCGUUGUCCAUUGAGAAAUCACUGGAGUAUAAUGUAGGUCUGUCAAGGAAGAUGUGUACUUUUGAAUUGCAGGGCAUGUGAGGAAAUAAAGUGUGAUGUGUUUGGAAGUCCCAAUGCAAAAGCAUCAUCAGCAGUCUUAUGACUGUCUAAGGGAUAAGUAAGUAAUGAGAACUGAGUGGGGGACACGUCAACAAAGAAUGUUGUUCUGUCUCUCAUCUGUCCUUUAAUGUGUUAGUGAGUAUUAGUAGGUGUUUAAAUGGGACUGUAAUGAUAGAACUUAUUAAUUUCUUCCUAAUGAGUGUGGUUGGGGGCUUGUAGUCUUGCUGUGGGUGGCUAUUUAGGUGUUAAAGAGACUCUGCACUAGUUACUUGCGGUAGGUGUCGGUGGACGGUUGUUAGAGUCUCUGACUGUGGUGUGGAAGGUUGUUGGUUCAAAUCAAAGUGGUUCUUGUGGGCUAUGUGUCGCUGGGGAUGAAGUCACGCAAUGACUUGGUGUGUUUGUGAGGUUGUGUGGAUGGUGGUGAGGUUGUAUGGGUGGUGGAUGGUGGUGAGGUUGUAUGAGUGGUGGAUGGUGGUGAGGUUGUAUGGAUGGUGGUGAGGUUGUAUGGAUGGUGGGUGGUGGUGAGGUUGUAUGGAUGGUGGUGAGGUUGUAUGGGUGGUGGUGAGGUUGUAUGGGUGGUGGAUGGUGGUGAGGUUGUAUGGGUGGUGGAUGGUGGUGAGGUUGUAUGAGUGGUGGAUGGUGGUGAGGUUGUAUGGGUGGUGGAUGGUGGUGAGGUUGUGUGGAUGGUGGUGAGGUUGUAUGGAUGGUGGAUGGUGGUGAGGUUGUAUGGAUGGUGGUGAGGUUGUAUGGGUGGUGGUGAGGUUGUAUGGGUGGUGGUGAGGUUGUAUGGGUGGUGGUGAGGUUGUAUGGGUGGUGGUGAGGUUGUAUGGGUGGUGGUGAGGUUGUAUGGGUGGUGGAUGGUGGUGAGGUUGUAUGGGUGGUGGUGAGGUUGUAUGGGUGGUGGAUGGUGGUGAGGUUGUAUGGAUGGUGGAUGGUGGUGAGGUUGUAUGGGUGGUGGUGAGGUUGUAUGGGUGGUGGUGAGGUUGUAUGGGUGGUGGAUGGUGGUGAGGUUGUAUGGAUGGUGGUGAGGUUGUAUGGGCGGUGGAUGGUGGUGAGGUUGUAUGGGCGGUGGAUGGUGGUGAGGUUGUAUGAGUGGUGGAUGGUGGUGAGGUUGUAUGAGUGGUGGAUGGUGGUGAGGUUGUAUGAGUGGUGGAUGGUGGUGAGGUUGUAUGGGUGGUGGAUGGUGGUGAGGUUGUAUGGGUGGUGGAUGGUGGUGAGGUUGUAUGGGUGGUGGAUGGUGGUGAGGUUGUAUGAGUGGUGGAUGGUGGUGAGGUUGUAUGAGUGGUGGAUGGUGGUGAGGUUGUAUGGAUGGUGGUGAGGUUGUAUGGAUGGUGGUGAGGUUGUAUGGGUGGUGGAUGGUGGUGAGGUUGUAUGGAUGGUGGAUGGUGGUGAGGUUGUAUGGGUGGUGGAUGGUGGUGAGGUUGUAUGGGUGGUGGAUGGUGGUGAGGUUGUAUGAGUGGUGGAUGGUGGUGUCUGGGUGCUUGCGGUGGCUGGCUUUGCAACACAGGUCCUGGGUCCAAGCUGCUGAGAAGUGGUGAGCGGCACUGACACCCAGCCCACGGAGAAGACUGGGGGUAGCGCUUACUACUAACCACAUUGACAUGUCAGAACAAUACUUUAAAGAGUGAAAAGACUGUGGAAAUGCUUGGGGUUUAAGGAUACUUCAGGGUGAUAUAUUGAACACACAUUCAUCUUG